CACCAGCUUGUUCUUAUCCCUUUUUCUCCUCUCUUUUUCUCUCAGCCUUAGGAGCAGAGUAGUGAAGAAAAGGCUUCAGGGAAUUGAAUUGUUGCUGUUGGAGGUAAGCAAAACCUGGUGGGAGUUGCAAGAAAGGUCUUUGAAGCUGAGAAUAACCAAAGAAAGUACUUAAUCGAGAACUAGUAACUUGGUGAAUUAAUGGGCUGAGUAGAGCUACCUUGUGGAGCCCUUGAGGAUCUGAGCUGAGAGAGAGACCUUGGGGGAAUUUUAAAUUUAAGUAUGGUUGAUACUUCCCCUGGUUGAGUAAUACUAGUACCCUAAAAGAGUAGUGAAUAGAGAAUUAAUUGUGCUGAAAUUUAAGGAGCUGUGGAGCAAAAUAGUGAAGAAGAAUUUUAGCAGAAACUUCCUGUUGUUGGAGCUGAAAGAAAGCUUGUUGGAGCUGCAAAUUGAGGGGCUGCGAAAGAGAAGCCGAAGUGCUGAAAUUUCUGCAUUGUGUAGAAUUUCAGCAUAGAUUACUUGCUAUUGGAAUUGAAAAAGAGAGCUUGGUGAAGCUUCGAAUUGGGGGCUGCGAAGAAGAAGCCGAAGUGCUGAAAUUUCUGCAUUAUGCAGAAUUUCAGCAUGAUACAGAUUUGAGUAUAAGCUGAAAACAGGUCAAGGGAGCAAUGAAUUGAGGGAAGAAAAAUUGAUUAAGUUUUGAUUGAGGUUCAAUUAAUUGUUAUAGAAGAUGCUAAUUAGGAAAUCUAGGAGUGUUUGAAUUGAUGAAAAUGCAAAACUGCAUUGAUAACUCCUAGUUGAACUCUAUUAAGCUAACCUAUGUUAUGUAUAGUAUGUAAGUAUGCAUAUGUACAUAUAGACGAAUAGGUGCAUGUGGUUAAGAGGGAAAACCUAAAGUAGAGUGAAAGCAGUUGUUGAAGGAAAUGGAAUUGAAAGAUUAUUAAAGUUUCUACUUGUUAUAGAAACCUUGAAACUAUGCAAACUACAUGUAUGUAGGCGUAUAUAUCUAUAUGUACAUAUGAAGGAAAGGUUGGAGGAUAAAAUCUGAGGUAAGAAUACUCUAAAACCUGAUUGAGAGUGAUGUUUAAUUGGCUCUAAGGAGAAGUUAAUAGCAGGUUCUUGGUUACUAAAGUGUAGAGCUAUGCAAUGCCAAGCUAUAUAUAUAUAUAUAUAUAUGUGGGUAUGUUGACACUAGAUGGAUGAGUUGGGAGUAGAAAUGCAAACUUGUAAAAUUUGUGAACGUGACCCUAGUUUAAUCUCCUUUAUUCCUUUAUAAAUGAAAGUUAAACAUGCUCGGAAGUCUAAAUUGACAUUCCGACAGGUCGGCGACGCACGAAUUACGGUAGAAGCCGUUUAAGCUCUAUUUGCACGGAGUCGCAAGAGCUCGUUAUUGACACAGUUCGAGACGCUGAUUCUAGCUGUUGGCAUCCCUACAGGUUCCAGUGCGAGCGGUGUGGCCGAGGACUGUGGCAAGAGCCCUGCAGCCUAGCUAGCUGACACCAGAGUAUAGUAGUUUACCAUUUUGAGUUCAUGUGAUACAUUUUGAUGUACAGAAACUUGUAAAUGGGUGUAUACAGAGCAUGUAAAUAACUAAAUAUUUCAGUUAUGCAGUUCAGUUUGAAAGUUUUAAAUUACA